UACGGAGGGUGCGAGCGUUGUCCGGAAUCACUGGGCGUAAAGGGCGCGUAGGCGGCCUGAUAAGUAGGGGGUGAAAUCCUGAGGCUUAACCUCAGGGCUGCCUUCUAAACUGUCGGGCUCGAGCACAGUAGAGGCAGGUGGAAUUCCCGGUGUAGCGGUGGAAUGCGUAGAGAUCGGGAAGAACAUCAGUGGCGAAGGCGGAUCUCUGGGCCAUUACUGACGCUGAGGAGCGAAAGCGUGGGGAGCGAACAGG
rnacentral:rRNA from 1 species